rnacentral:rRNA from 1 species
UGGGGAAUAUUGCACAAUGGGCGCAAGCCUGAUGCAGCCAUGCCGCGUGUGUGAAGAAGGCCUCGGGUUGUAAAGCACUUUCAGCGAGGAGGAAGGUGGUGAGCUUAAUACGCUCAUCAAUUGACGUUACUCGCAGAAGAAGCACCGGCUAACUCCGUGCCAGCAGCCGCGGUAAUACGGAGGGUGCAAGCGUUAAUCGGAAUUACUGGGCGUAAAGCGCACGCAGGCGGUUUGUUAAGUCAGAUGUGAAAUCCCCGGGCUCAACCUGGGAACUGCAUUUGAAACUGGCAAGCUAGAGUCUCGUAGAGGGGGGUAGAAUUCCAGGUGUAGCGGUGAAAUGCGUAGAGAUCUGGAGGAAUACCGGUGGCGAAGGCGGCCCCCUGGACGAAGACUGACGCUCAGGUGCGAAAGCGUGGGGCAGCAAACAGGAUUAGAUACCCUGGUAGUCCACGCUGUAAACGAUGUCGAUUUUGGAGGUUGUGCCCUUGAGGCGUGGCUUCCGGAGCUAACGCGUUAAAUCG